rnacentral:rRNA from 1 species
GAACGCUGGCGGCGUGCCUAUUACAUGCAAGUCGAGCGGACAGAUGGGAGCUUGCUCCCUGAUGUUAGCGGCGGACGGGUGAGUAACACGUGGGUAACCUGCCUGUAAGACUGGGAUAACUCCGGGAAACCGGGGCUAAUACCGGAUGGUUGUUUGAACCGCAUGGUUCAAACAUAAAAGGUGGCUUUGGCUACCACUUACAGAUGGACCCGCGGCGCAUUAGCUAGUUGGUGAGGUAACGGCUCACCAAGGCAACGAUGCGUAGCCGACCUGAGAGGGUGAUCGGCCACACUGGGACUGAGACACGGCCCAGACUCCUACGGGAGGCAGCAGUAGGGAAUCUUCCGCAAUGGACGAAAGUCUGACGGAGCAACGCCGCGUGAGUGAUGAAGGUUUUCGGAUCGUAAAGCUCUGUUGUUAGGGAAGAACAAGUACCGUUCGAAUAGGGCGGUACCUUGACGGUACCUAACCAGAAAGCCACGGCUAACUACGUGCCAGCAGCCGCGGUAAUACGUAGGUGGCAAGCGUUGUCCGGAAUUAUUGGGCGUAAAGGGCUCGCAGGCGGUUUCUUAAGUCUGAUGUGAAAGCCCCCGGCUCAACCGGGGAGGGUCAUUGGAAACUGGGGAACUUGAGUGCAGAAGAGGAGAGUGGAAUUCCACGUGUAGCGGUGAAAUGCGUAGAGAUGUGGAGGAACACCAGUGGCGAAGGCGACUCUCUGGUCUGUAACUGACGCUGAGGAGCGAAAGCGUGGGGAGCGAACAGGAUUAGAUACCCUGGUAGUCCACGCCGUAAACGAUGAGUGCUAAGUGUUAGGGGGUUUCC